AAGUCAGGUGUGAAAGACGAGGGCUCAACCAUCGCAGUGCCGUUGAUACUGGCGAUCUUGAAUGUACGUGAGGUAGGCGGAAUGUGACAAGUAGCGGUGAAAUGCAUAGAUAUGUCACAGAACACCGAUUGCGAAGGCAGCUUACUAAAGUAUGAUUGACGCUGAGGCACGAAAGCGUGGGGAUCAAACA
rnacentral:rRNA from 1 species